GCACUCUGGUGACCAGCGGAGGGCGGAGACUCCGGAGUGGGAACUGAAGAAGGCUGUCUGAGGUUCCCUAACACAGUGAUGGCAUUUAGUCCCUGGCAGGCCUCUUGGGUGCUGAGAUUAUGGACACCAAUCACUGCCCAACUUGCAGAUUGACAGACAAGAACGACCAAUUUAGCGUCUAAUUUACUAGAACAGAAACCGUGUCGCCUCCAGAAAACAAAGCAGAAGAAACACCUGCAUGAUCUUCUUGUGACCUUCUCUCCCUGGAAAUCUUUUUUAAAAUAAAAUCCUACAGCCAAUCUGUUUUAACCUGUUCCCUUUCCACAAGGUACAGAAUCUCUCAGGGAUCAGCUGAGACCUAAGCAGAAACAGAUCAUCUGAAUAAAGACUGAGGCUGUGGAGGAAAGAGAGUAUAAAGGGGGGGGGGGCUGGAGAGAUGGCUCAGAGGUUAAGAGCAUUGCCUGCUCUUCCAAAGGUUCUGAGUUCAAUUCCCAGCAACCACAUGGUGACUCACAACCAUCUGUAAUGAGGUCUGGUGCCCUCUUCUGGCUUGCACCACAGACAGAAUAUUGUAUACAUAAUAAAUAAAUAAAUAUUAAAAAAAGAGAGAGUAUAAAGGCAGUCCAAUGCAGUCCUGAACCAUACCAUAAAACUAAGCAUCCAUCUGUUCUCAAACACAGCCUUCAGCCACUCUCUUUAGACUGCGCACAAGCCCUCUGACUGUGCCAGGCUCCUUCUCUGACCUUUCUUGUAAAGGAGUCAGUAAUGGCAGGAGGGAACCUCAGAACCCAGCUAAACACUAUUCCUAUCAGCAUAUCAGAAAUUAGACCAUUCAAAAUUUGUGUGUGUGUUGGAGCAAGUUACAUGCCUAUUUUGAUUACACCGUGCACUCCCUAUUACUGUAACUCUCUAGUGACAGUACCACCAAGCCCUUCUUCCUAACCUAGCCUCCUUUCAACUUCCAUAGACUUUGGAGUAGUUUACAGUAACAUGGGCAGCUUACCAUCAGCUCCACCACUGAAGAAAGCUUCGCGCCCUCAUCAGCUGUUAUCUGCAUAGAAAUCCUUAGAGGAGCUUUUGUUUGUUUUAUUUUCUUGAGACAGAGCCUCACUCUGGAGCCCAGGCUAGCUUCACACCUACAGCAAUCCUGCUGUCUCAGUCUCAUAAAAUUCUUUUUAAAAAUAUUAUUUUUAA